rfam:Anopheles sinensis unplaced genomic scaffold AS2_scf7180000696130, whole genome shotgun sequence.
UAUAGUUUUGGUCUGUGAAUGGGGUAGGAUCCGACGCCUCCUGAAGGCUACAUAGGCUCUCCAACCCAACUCCUAUUCUGGUAUGUCCUAGCCAUACAGACCUUGCACAUGUAGCCCCGUUUAUCUGAGCUUGGGUAAACGGGUCCAAUCUCAACCCCUUGGGAGGAUCGGGCUGCGUGGCUAAGGCAGAAGGG